GACGAACGCUGGCGGCGUGCUUAACACAUGCAAGUCGAACGGAAAGGCCUGCUUUCCCUUGUGGAUUGCGGGUACUCGAGUGGCGAACGGGUGAGUAACACGUGAGUGAUCUGCCCCCAACUUUGGUAUAAGCCUGGGAAACUGGGUCUAAUUCCCGAUAGGACGGCAGGGUGGUGCCUGUGGUGGAAAACGAUUUUCUAGUGGGUGGUGUUGAGCUCGCGGCCUAUCAGCUUGUUGGUGGGGUAAUGGCCUACCAAGGCGGCGACGGGGAGCCGGCCUGAGGAGGUGGCCGGCCACAUUGGGACUGAGCUGCGGCCCAGACUCCUACGGGAGGCAGCAGUGGGGAAUAGUAGACAAGGGGCGGAAGCCUGAUGCAGCGACGCCGCGUGGGGGAUGACGGCCUUCGGGUUGUACACUCCUUUCGACCGCGAGGAAGCCACCUGGUUGGAAGGGUGGUGACGGUAGUGGUAGAAGAAGCACCGGCUAACUACGUG
rnacentral:rRNA from 1 species